AUGAACGCUGGCGGCGUGCCUAAUACAUGCCAGUCGAGCGAACGGACGAGAAGCUUGCUUCUCUGAUGUUAGCGGCGGACGGGUGAGUAACACGUGGAUACCUACCUAUAAGACUGGGAUAACUUCGGGAAACCGGAGCUAAUACCGGAUAAUAUUUUGAACCGCAUGGUUCAAAAGUGAAAGACGGUCUUGCUGUCACUUAUAGAUGGAUCCGCGCUGCAUUAGCUAGUUGGUAAGGUAACGGCUUACCAAGGCAACGAUGCAUAGCCGACCUGAGAGGGUGAUCGGCCACACUGGAACUGAGACACGGUCCAGACUCCUACGGGAGGCAGCAGUAGGGAAUCUUCCGCAAUGGGCGAAAGCCUGACGGAGCAACGCCGCGUGAGUGAUGAAGGUCUUCGGAUCGUAAAACUCUGUUAUUAGGGAAGAACAUAUGUGUAAGUAACUGUGCACAUCUUGACGGUACCUAAUCAGAAAGCCACGGCUAACUACGUG
rnacentral:rRNA from 1 species